GUGUGACAUCACAAAGAAGACCCAUUGAAGACCCUCUAUCAAUGUGAUGAGCUAUCAAAGAAGAAAGGAUGUAAAUCCUGAUCAUCCACCGAUCCAUACAAUGACACAAUCUGAUGCUGAAAAAAAGAGGAAAAAUGUUGAUUAAAUCAGAGGAGGCGCCGUGAAAAAUUCAACCGAAUGUGGUGAUGAACUUACCUCCAGUAUCCACUGAAGUAAACUCUUUUGAGCAGCCCCCUGAACAACUUGUACAAGUACAACAUGAACCUGCACCUCCAGAGCUGGUGCAACCAUCUAAGUCCUUGACUCCAGAAGUAGAGCAAUCCCUUGAGCCUCAAUCUCAAACACUGGAGCAAACACUUGCUUCCUCCACAAAAAGGUAUCAAAGUGUUGCAAGCGGCUGCAAAAGGAAAAACUAUGUAAUGCCAUGAUAUUACUUUGAGAAAGAUAUCCACUAUUUCGUGAUGAUUUUAAGCAAAACGACAGUUUUUGCACAAUGUUUAUGGAAUGUUUUUUUAAUUAAUGCUUUGUUUGAAAUGUUCAAUGCUGAUUUAAUCCUAUGUGAAUUAAAUUGUACCUUGUGUCAGUUAAACUAUGUUGCAUAGUAAAACCAAUGUUCUUUA
rnacentral:lncRNA from 1 species